rnacentral:rRNA from 1 species
AAUCAACGCUGGCGGCGUGCCUAACACAUGCAAGUCGAACGAGAAAGUGGGGGCAACCCUGCGAGUACAGUGGCAGACGGGUGAGUAACACGUGAACAACCUACCCUUGAGUGGGGAAUAACACCGCGAAAGCGGUGCUAAAACCGCAUAAAAUCCUUUUAUCGCAUGGUGAAGGGAUCAAAAGCGCAAGUUGCUUGAGGAGGGGUUCGCGGCUGAUUAGCUAGUUGGUGAGGUAACGGCCCACCAAGGCAACGAUCAGUAGCCGGCCUGAGAGGGCGAACGGCCACACUGGAACUGAGACACGGUCCAGACUCCUACGGGAGGCAGCAGUGGGGAAUUUUGCGCAAUGGGCGAAAGCCUGACGCAGCAACGCCGCGUGGAGGAUGAAGGCCUUCGGGUCGUAAACUCCUGUCGAUGGGGACGAAAGCCUAGCAAUAGGAUUGACUGUACCCGUUGAGGAAGCCACGGCUAACUCCGUGC